GGUUAAGCGACUAAGCGUACACGGUGGAUGCCCUGGCAGUCAGAGGCGAUGAAGGGCGUGCUAAUCUGCGAUAAGCGCCGGUAAGGUGAUAUGAACCGUUAUAACCGGCGAUACCCGAAUGGGGAAACCCAGUGUGAUUCGUCACACUAUCAUUAACUGAAUCCAUAGGUUAAUGAGGCGAACCGGGGGAACUGAAACAUCUAAGUACCCCGAGGAAAAGAAAUCAACCGAGAUUCCCCCAGUAGCGGCGAGCGAACGGGGAGGAGCCCAGAGCCUGAAUCAGCAUGUGUGUUAGUGGAAGCGUCUGGAAAGGCGCGCGAUACAGGGUGACAGCCCCGUACACAAAAGCGUAUGUGCUGUGAGCUCGAUGAGUAGGGCGGGACACGUGGUAUCCUGUCUGAAUAUGGGGGGACCAUCCUCCAAGGCUAAAUACUCCUGACUGACCGAUAGUGAACCAGUACCGUGAGGGAAAGGCGAAAAGAACCCCGGCGAGGGGAGUGAAAAAGAACCUGAAACCGUGUACGUACAAGCAGUGGGAGCACCCUUUGGGGUGUGACUGCGUACCUUUUGUAUAAUGGGUCAGCGACUUAUAUUCUGUAGCAAGGUUAACCGAAUAGGGGAGCCGGAGGGAAACCGAGUCUUAAUUGGGCGUUAAGUUGCAGGGUAUAGACCCGAAACCCGGUGAUCUAGCCAUGGGCAGGUUGAAGGUUGGGUAACACUAACUGGAGGACCGAACCGACUAAUGUUGAAAAAUUAGCGGAUGACCUGUGGCUGGGGGUGAAAGGCCAAUCAAACCGGGAGAUAGCUGGUUCUCCCCGAAAGCUAUUUAGGUAGCGCCUCGUGAAUUCAUCUCCGGGGGUAGAGCACUGUUUCGGCUAGGGGGUCAUCCCGACUUACCAACCCGAUGCAAACUGCGAAUACCGGAGAAUGUUAUCACGGGAGACACACGGCGGGUGCUAACGUCCGUCGUGAAGAGGGAAACAACCCAGACCGCCAGCUAAGGUCCCAAAGUCAUGGUUAAGUGGGAAACGAUGUGGGAAGGCCCAGACAGCCAGGAUGUUGGCUUAGAAGCAGCCAUCAUUUAAAGAAAGCGUAAUAGCUCACUGGUCGAGUCGGCCUGCGCGGAAGAUGUAACGGGGCUAAACCAUGCACCGAAGCUGCGGCAGCGACACUCAGGUGUUGUUGGGUAGGGGAGCGUUCUGUAAGCCUGUGAAGGUGGCCUGUGAGGGUUGCUGGAGGUAUCAGAAGUGCGAAUGCUGACAUAAGUAACGAUAAAGCGGGUGAAA
rnacentral:rRNA from 1 species